ensembl:miRNA Mir6321 microRNA 6321
UCGAGUGUUGAAGUCUCAGGUAGCAGUGCUCAUGGGUCUCUACUGCAGUGAGUUCUAUGAAGCCUCAGGUAGCAGUGCUCAUGGGUCUCUAUUGCAGUGAGUUCUAUGAAGCCAAUGCUCUCAUGAUGGAAGAAGAAGGCG